rnacentral:misc_RNA from 1 species
AGGGCUGUAGCUCUUCAUUGUCAAACUUUUUCCAAUUCUCUUGGUCAUGUUCUGUAAUAUGAUUAUUGAGAUCAACUGAUCCCUUUUUAUCUGAUACGGAACUAGUACCAUUUGCAGAAACCCAUCCCCCAUGUGUGUCAUCCCAUGGUUCGGCUGAACCAGCAGACAGCACUUCAUACUCGACUUCAUAAUCAGAUUCUUCUUCAGAUAAGUCUU